UACGUAGGGGGCAAGCGUUGUCCGGAAUCAUUGGGCGUAAAGCGCGUGUAGGCGGUUCGGUAAGUCUGCUGUGAAAGUCCAGGGCUCAACCCUGGGAUGCCGGUGGAUACUGUCGGGCUAGAGUACGGAAGAGGCGAGUGGAAUUCCCGGUGUAGCGGUGAAAUGCGCAGAUAUCGGGAGGAACACCAAUUGCGAAGGCAGCUCGCUGGGACGUCACUGACGCUGAGACGCGAAAAGCGUGGGGAGCGAGUCGG
rnacentral:rRNA from 1 species